rnacentral:rRNA from 1 species
CCUACGGGAGGCAGCAGUAGGGAAUCUUCCACAAUGGGCGAAAGCCUGAUGGAGCAACGCCGCGUGGGUGAAGAAGGUCUUCGGAUCGUAAAACCCUGUUGUUAGAGAAGAAAGUGCGUGAGAGUAACUGUUCACGUGUCGACGGUAUCUAACCAGAAAGCCACGGCUAACUACGUGCCAGCAGCCGCGGUAAUACGUAGGUGGCAAGCGUUAUCCGGAUUUAUUGGGCGUAAAGGGAACGCAGGCGGUCUUUUAAGUCUGAUGUGAAAGCCUUCGGCUUAACCGGAGUAGUGCAUUGGAAACUGGGAGACUUGAGUGCAGAAGAGGAGAGUGGAACCCCAUGUGUAGCGGUGAAAUGCGUAGAUAUAUGGAAGAACACCAGUGGCGAAAGCGGCUCUCUGGUCUGUAACUGACGCUGAGGUUCGAAAGCGUGGGUAGCAAACAGGAUUAGAUACCCGGGUAGUC